rnacentral:rRNA from 1 species
UACGUAGGGGGCGAGCGUUGUCCGGAUUUACUGGGCGUAAAGAGCGCGCAGGCGGUCGUCCAAGUCGCGUGUGAAAGCCCCCGGCUCAACUGGGGAGGGUCACGCGAUACUGGUCGACUCGAAGGCAGGAGAGGGUAGUGGAAUUCCCGGUGUAGUGGUGAAAUGCGUAGAUAUCACUCGGAAGGCCAACGGCGAAGGCAGGUCACUGGUGCGCAACUGACGCUGAGGCACGAAAGCGUGGGGAGCAAACAGG